CACUAUCAGUUGAAGCUGCCAGCAUGAUCUAAACUUGCUUCCCUUUGUGAACAGAGAUCAGAUCAUGUGGCAGUUUCACCUGUUGUUGGU